rnacentral:rRNA from 1 species
GGAACGAACGCUGGCGGCAUGCCUAAUACAUGCAAGUCGAACGAAGGCUUCGGCCUUAGUGGCGCACGGGUGCGUAACGCGUGGGAAUCUGCCCCUUGGUUCGGAAUAACAGUUGGAAACGACUGCUAAUACCGGAUGAUGACGAAAGUCCAAAGAUUUAUCGCCAAGGGAUGAGCCCGCGUAGGAUUAGCUAGUUGGUGAGGUAAAGGCUCACCAAGGCGACGAUCCUUAGCUGGUCUGAGAGGAUGAUCAGCCACACUGGGACUGAGACACGGCCCAGACUCCGUACGGGAGGCAGCAGUAGGGAAUA